AUUGAACGCUGGCGGCAGGCCUAACACAUGCAAGUCGAACGAGCGGCGGACGGGUGAGUAAUGUCUGGGAAACUGCCCGAUGGAGGGGGAUAACUACUGGAAACGGUAGCUAAUACCGCAUACCAUCAGAUGUGCCCAGCUUGGAUUAGCUUGUUGGUGGGGUAACGGCUCACCAAGGCGACGAUCCCUAGCUGGUCUGAGAGGAUGACCAGAGAGACUGGAAGUGAGAUACUGGCCAGACUCCGACGGGAGGCAGCUGUGGGGAAUAUGGCCCAAUGGGCGCAAGCCUGAGGCCGCCGUGCCGCGUGUAUGAAGAGGGCCUUCGGGUUGUAAAGUACUUUCAGCGGGGAGGCGUUACCCGCAGAAGAAGCACCGGCUAACUCCGUGCCAGCAGCCGCGGUAAUUC
rnacentral:rRNA from 1 species